UACGUAGGGGGCAAGCGUUGUCCGGAUUUAUUGGGCGUAAAGAGCUCGUAGGCGGCUUGUCGCGUCGUCCGUGAAAACCUGCGGCUCAACUGCAGGCUGGCGGUCGAUACGGGCAGGCUGGGAGUUCGGUAGGGGAGACUGGAAUUCCUGGUGUAGCGGUGAAAUGCGCAGAUAUCAGGAGGAACACCGGUGGCGAAGGCGGGGUCUCUGGGGCCGAUACUGACUGGAGGAGCGAAAAGCGUGGGGGAGCGAACAGGAUUAGAAAACCCC
rnacentral:rRNA from 1 species